GCAAACUUGGUCAUUUAGAGGAAGUAAAAGUCGUAACAAGGUCUCCGUAGGUGAACCUGCGGAGGGAUCAUUACAGAGCUCGUGCCCACCUGGGCGCAGAUCUCCCACCCGCUGUCAUCGCUACGAUCGUUGCUUUGGCGGGCCGCCGCGCCCGCCAGAGGCCCCACAGACCCCGUAUCGUUAGUGUCGUCCGAGGGCUCAGACAAUAAAGUCAAAACUUUCAACAACGGAUCUCUUGGCUCUGGCAUCGAUGAAGAACGCAGC
rnacentral:misc_RNA from 1 species